rnacentral:rRNA from 1 species
CCAUGCCAAUUCCGAACGGUAACAGGUCUAUCAGAAUGCUGAACUAUUGGCGAACGGGUGAGUAAUACAUCGGAACGUGCCUAAUAGUGGGGGAUAACUACUCAAAAGAGUAGCUAAUACCGCAUGAGAUCUACGGAUGAAAGCAGGGGACCUUCGGGCCUUGUGCUACUAUAGCGGCUGAUGGCAGAUUAGGUAGUUGGUGGGGUAAAGGCUUACCAAGCCUGCGAUCUGUAACUGGUCUGAGAGGACGACCAACCACACUGGGACUGAGACACGGUCCAAACUCCUACGGAAGGCAACAGUGGGGAAUUUUGGACAAUGGGCGAAAGCCUGAUCCAGCAAUGCCGCGUGCAGGAUGAAGGCCCUCGGGUUGUAAACUGCUUUUGUACGGAACGAAAAGCCUGGGGCUAAUAUCCCCGGGUCAUGACGGUACCGUAAGAAUAACCACCGGCUAACUACGUGCCAGCAGCCGCGGUAAUACGUAGGGUGCAAGCGUUAAUCGGAAUUACUGGGCGUAAAAGCGUGCGCAGGCGGUUUUGUAAGACAGUGGUGAAAUCCCCGGGCUCAACCUGGGAACUGCCAUUGUGACUGCUAGGCUAGAGUGCGGCAAAGGGGGAUGGAAUUCCGCGUGUAACCAUUGAAAUGCGUAGAUAUGCGGAGGAACCCCCGAUGGUGAAGGCAAUCCCCUGGGUCUGCACUGACGCUAUUGCACGAAAACGUGGGAAGCCAAGGGAAUUAAAAUACCCUGGUAUCCCCGGCCCUAACCGAUGUUCACUUGGUUUGGUGGGAAU